rnacentral:rRNA from 1 species
CAAGUCGAGCGAACGGACGAGAAGCUUGCUUCUCUGAUGUUAGCGGCGGACGGGUGAGUAACACGUGGAUAACCUACCUAUAAGACUGGGAUAACUUCGGGAAACCGUAGCUAAUACCGGAUAAUAUUUUGAACCGCAUGGUUCAAAAGUGAAAGACGGUCUUGCUGUCACUUAUAGAUGGAUCCGCGCUGCAUUAGCUAGUUGGUAAGGUAACGGCUUACCAAGGCAACGACGCAUAGCCGACCUGAGAGGGUGAUCGGCCACACUGGAACUGAGGACACGGUCCAGACUCCUACGGGAGGCAGCAGUAGGGAAUCUUCCGCAAUGGGCGAAAGCCUGACAGAGCAACGCCGCGUGAGUGAUGAAGGUCUUCGGAUCGUAAAACUCUGUUAUUAGGGAAGAACAUAUGUGUAAGUAACUGUGCACAUCUUGACGGUACCUAAUCAGAAAGCCACGGCUAACUACGUGCCAGCAGCCGCGGUAAUACGUAGGUGGCAAGCGUUAUCCGGAAUUAUUGGGCGUAAAGCGCGCGUAGGCGGUUUUUUAAGUCUGAUGUGAAAGCCCACGGCUCAACCGUGGAGGGUCAUUGGAAACUGGAAAACUUGAGUGCAGAAGAGGAAAGUGGAAUUCCAUGUGUAGCGGUGAAAUGCGCAGAGAUAUGGAGGAACACCAGUGGCGAAGGCGACUUUCUGGUCUGUAACUGACGCUGAUGUGCGAAAGCGUGGGGAU